rfam:Simian immunodeficiency virus isolate SIVcpzEK505, complete genome.
UUUUUUAGGGAAGGUCUGGCCUCUCUCCAAAGGGAGGCCAGGAAAUUUCCCC